UACGUAGGGUGCAAGCGUUGUCCGGAAUUAUUGGGCGUAAAGAGCUCGUAGGCGGUCUGUCGCGUCUGCUGUGAAAACUCAGGGCUUAACCCUGAGCUUGCAGUGGGUACGGGCAGACUAGAGUGCGGUAGGGGAGACUGGAAUUCCUGGGUGUAGCGGUGAAAUGCGCAGAGAUCGUAAGGAAGACCAGUGGCGAAGGCGGGUCUCUGGA
rnacentral:rRNA from 1 species